UAGUGCUAGUGUUUAACUUGUUUUUUUUUUAUUAUUAUUAAAGAUUACCUGCACCUAAAAACACUUCUCUGUCUGCUCUUUGUCACAUGCUUUACAAUUAGUAGAUAUUUAAGCUGCUCUCAUGAGCCUGCUGUCUGGAUACACCUUAAUAAAUCUGAUCAUCUUUUAGCAUGUUGGUGACAGCAUGUAAAUGGAAGGCUGGUCUGACACCAAGAGAUGAGAUGACAGUGCCCCAGCUCAUUGAGGUCGCAUCAUCAGGGAAUGGCUGUUGGAGCCUGGGGUACCUCAAAUGGAAUGGCCUGGAUUUUCUCCAGACCUGAAUCCCAUAGAAAACCUAUGGGAUCAGCUGAGUCGUCGUGAAGAGGGUCAUAUCCCUACACCCUAGAACCUCAAUGACCCGAGGACAACUCUUCAAGAACCGUGGAAUACCAUGCCUCAGCAGACAAUUAGUUGACUUCUAAACAGCAUGAGAUGAUGUUGUCAAGCUGUAAUUGACAAGUAAUUGAGACAUUUACCUUUUUUGAUGACACCACUGUUGUCAGCAUUUGUUUCAAUAAAUUGUUUUAGAUUAAUAAAUUAGCAUUAUAUGCUUCUACUUAAAUGCCCUACUUUCGUGAUAUACUGUAAUAUCACUGUAGCAUUAACUUUUUUUACGUUUUCCAUAAAUUGAACUGGA